rnacentral:rRNA from 1 species
GGGAGGCAGCAGUGGGGAAUAUUGCACAAUGGGCGAAAGCCUGAUGCAGCCAUGCCGCGUGUGUGAAGAAGGCCUUCGGGUUGUAAAGCACUUUCAGUUGUGAGGAAAGGGGUGUACUUAAUACGUGCAUCCUGUGACGUUAGCAACAGAAGAAGCACCGGCUAACUCCGUGCCAGCAGCCGCGGUAAUACGGAGGGUGCGAGCGUUAAUCGGAAUUACUGGGCGUAAAGCGUGCGUAGGCGGUUAUUUAAGCGAGAUGUGAAAUCCCGGGGCUCAACCUCGGAACUGCAUUUCGAACUGGGUGACUAGAGUACUGUAGAGGGUGGUGGAAUUUCCAGUGUAGCGGUGAAAUGCGUAGAGAUUGGAAGGAACAUCAGUGGCGAAGGCGGCCACCUGGACAGAUACUGACGCUGAGGCACGAAAGCGUGGGGAGCAAACAGGAUUAGAUACCCUGGUAGUCCACGCCGUAAACGAUGUCAACUAGCUGUCUGUGCACUUGAUGCGUGGGUAGCGUAGCUAACGCGCUAAGUUGACCGCCUGGGGAGUACGGCCGCAAGGUUAAAACUCAAAUG